rnacentral:lncRNA from 1 species
UUAAUCGUAUAACCAAAUAAUGUAGAAAAUAUAAUCUUGGUAUAGAAGAAUACCUAUCACGCUAUAUCCAAUAUAUCUGAAGAUGUCCUAAGGUGCCUAAAUGUUCACCCUCCGAUGUUGAUCCACACAGGAAUGGGUUCAAGACUCUAGCUCCACCAAAACUUAAUUCUAAUUGUUCAAUCCUUCCAAAGGAUUUAAUUGGCUGAUUUU